ACGAACGCUAGCGGCGCGUCUGAUUCAGGCAAGUCGAGCGUGAACGCUCCUUCGGGAGUUAGUAAAGCGGCGGACCGCUGAGUAAUACGCAGGCAACCUGCCCGUGAGCUUGGGAUAACCGGCCGAAAGGCCGGCUAAUACCGAAUAUAAUGCCGGAUCGCAUGGUCCGGUAUGAAAGGUUGGUGCCCUUCGGGGUCUUCCGUUCACGGAUGGGCCUGCGGCCUAUUAGCUUGUUGGUGGGGUAACGGCCCACCAAGGCGGAGAUGGGUAGCCGGGCUGAGAGGCUGAUCGGCCAGACUGGGACUGAGACACUGCCCAGACCCCUACGGGGGGCAGCCGAGGAGGAUCAUCGCCAAUGAGCGCAAGCUUGAGCGUGCGACGCCGCGUGAGGGAAGAAGGCCUUCGGGUCGUAAACCUCUGUCAGGGAACAGGAAGGCUUGAUGGGUCAAUAGCCCGUCAGGUUGACCAUUCCCAAAGGAAGGGCCUGCUAACUUCGUGCCAGCAGCCGCGGUAAUACGGAGGGCCCGAGCGUUGUUCGGAUUUACUGGGCGUAAAGGGCGUCUAGGCGGGCUCGUCAGUCGGGUAUGAAAGCCCUCGGCUCAACCGGGGAAUGGUGUCCGAUACUGCGAGCCUUGAGUGCAGCAGAGGAGAGUGGAACUCCUGGUGGAGCGGUGAAAUGCGUAGAUAUCAGGAGGAACGCCGGAGGCGAAAGCGACUCUCUGGGUUGUCACUGACGCUGAAGCGCGAAAGCCAGGGGAGCGAACGGGAUUAGAUACCCCGGUAGUCCUGGCCGUAAACGAUGGGCACUAGGUAGAGGAGGUUCUGACGCCUUUUCUGCCGUAGCUAACGCAUUAAGUGCCCAGCCUGGGGAGUACGGUCGCAAGACUAAACUCAAAGGAAUUGACGGGGGCUCGCACAAGCGUGGAGCAUGGCUAAUUGAGCAACGGAAGAACUUAUCUGGGCUUGACAUCGUGG
rnacentral:rRNA from 1 species